rnacentral:rRNA from 1 species
UACGGAGGGUGCAAGCGUUGUUCGGAAUUACUGGGCGUAAAGGGCGCGUAGGCGGCCGCCCGCGUCGGAUGUGAAAGCCCGGGGCUCAACCCCGGAACGGCAUCCGAGACGGGGCGGCUGGAGACCGGGAGAGGAGGGUGGAAUAGCCAGUGUAGAGGUGAAAUUCGUAGAUAUUGGUUGGAACACCGGUGGCGAAAGCGGCUCUCUGGCCCGGUUCUGACGCUGAGGCGCGAAAGCGUGGGGAGCGAACAGG